rnacentral:rRNA from 1 species
AGUUAAAAAGCUCGUAGUUGGAUUUCUGGCAGGAGCGACCGGUCGCGCACUCUGUGCGUGAACUUGGCUGUCUCUGGCCAUCCUUGGGGAGAUCCUGUUUGGCAUUAAGUUGUCGGGCAGGGGAUACCCAUCGUUUACUGUGAAAAAAUUAGAGUGUUUAAAGCAGGCUUAUGCCGUUGAAUAUAUUAGCAUGGAAUAAUAAGAUAGGACUUCGGAACUAUUUUGUUGGUUUGCGUUACGAAGUAAUGAUUAAUAGGGACAGUUGGGGGUAUUCGUAUUCCGUUGUCAGAGGUGAAAUUCUUGGAUUUCCGGAAGACGAACUACUGCGAAAGCAUUUACC